rnacentral:lncRNA from 1 species
CCUGGAAGUAUUUGUCUCCUUUUUUAUUUUCUAGGUACAUUAUGCAAUUGAAAUCUGCCACAAAAAUAUAGGCAGACCUACACCUUCAGUGCAAUGGCUGAUUGCUAGAUAGCUCCAUACUGUAGCUUAUUCAUACUAGCAUACACUACAUAAAAUCCAUGAUGAUCCUGAUGCUGGCACGAUGACUCCAUAAACUACUUGAUGGUCUCAAUGGUAAAGUUGAUUUUAUCCAAAUUAUGAAGAUCCAUGCAGGUAUGUGUUUAGUCUCACAUUAGUUAUUCAUCGAAAAGUUCUUAGGUAUGUUUAUAGAAUCAAAAAACUCAAAUAAUACUUUAUGACU